UUUGGUUUACACUUUGUUUUUUUAUGGGUUUAAAUUUCUGACAGGCGAAAAACUUUCGACAAAUAAAACAACUCAAUGUAAACAGCGCCCUCAAUAGAGGAGUAACAGAUUUAGUAUGGUCCCUUAACUAGAAACUAUCACUAAAAUAGCAAACGAAAGGGAACUAGACUGCUGGUUGGAUUAUUUACUUCUGCAACGAAACCAAUGCUUGUUGUUAUGUUGCGAUUGUGAUUUUGUUUAAUCAAUAUCAACCUGUCCGUCAUCUACGAAUGCGAAUGUCACCAUCGGAAUUCACAUCAAAUCACAGUGAACAGCCAGCCAGAGAAUGAGUGCUGAUUUCAGGCAGACAACAGACAUUUUGGGCCUUAAACAAGAUGAAGGAGAGCAUCUAUGCACAGAUCCAUCCAGAGCUUAUCUGACUUGUAAUGCUUCGGGAAAAACUAAGACUGACAGAGUACAAUGGACUCACCAAACCUAAACUUGUGGAAGAUGUACCUGGGAGUUGCUUCGUAAGGCCUUCAACAAGAUGAAGGGGAGCAUCUAUGCACAGAUCCAUCCAGAGCUUAUUAUGCGUCGGAGAAACUAAGACUGACAGAGUACAAUGGACUCACCAAACCUGAACUUGUGGAAGAUGUACCUGGGUUUACCACUGGACAGAGAAAAUCUCCGCUAGGAAAACUCUCCAAUGGUGGUUGCCAAGCAAUCUGUGACACUGGGACCUCUGUUUUGACCCGGCCAACAGCGGACGUGGAAUAGAUUCUAAGCUUGAUUGGAGCUGCACCUCCUGUCAGUAUCAUCAAAGUGAAAGAAACCGAGAUGUGAGAGACACUUUGCAAGAGUGGAUUCAUCAGAAGAGACAUCUUUAAACCCAUGGGCGCUCUUUGGAUCCUUGGUAACAUCCUCAUUGGUAAUAACUACCCGGAGUUAACCAAGAUGUGAGAGACACUUUGCAAGAGUGGAUUCAUCAGAAUAGACAUCUUUAAACCCAUGGGUGCUGUUUGGAUUAUUGGUAACAUCUUCAUUGGUAAUAACUACUCGGAGUAACCAAGAUGGGAGACACACUUUGCAAGAGUGGAUUCAUCAGAAUAGACACAUCUAUAAACCUCUUUGGAUCCUCGGUGACAUCUUCAUUGGUAAAUACUACUUUGAGAUUGAUCGAGUGAACAACCCUGAAGGUUUCGCUGAUGCUGUCAAGAAAAUCAAGGCUGGAUAUUUGAACUUGGCUUGUAAAUCGGAAGGAAUACUAUGAAUGGGGUAAGGAAAAUUAUAAAUGGGCCAAACAAAAAUAUAAUCAUGUUUCCUAUUAAACCGAAUAAAUACCCAUUUCUUUUUUCAGGAAAAUGUGACCGUCUUUUUAUUUGGCCAAACUUUUUAUUAUGAAAACAAAAUCAUAACAAGAGGUGCCCACCUGUGUACCACCUAUUUUUUUUAGUGGAAAACAUGGCUACAUUUUUGCUUCGCCCUUACUACCUAAUUACCAAUUUAUCAGCGUACGGAAACUUAACUGUAUUUUUGUUUCGCCUUAAAAACUAUUACAAAAUAAUAGAUACCCACCAUACACCAAAAGUCCAGUGUAAUCGGAACAUCAUUAUAUUUUCGUUGGCCCAACUGAAAACAGUUAUGAAAUAACGUAAAAUAGAGACCCACUUUUUCAGUGUAAAGUUAACAUGGCUAUCAUUUGUUUGGCCCAAAAUGAGCCUUGAAAAACAUGUUGCUCACUUUUAUAAUCUUAAAACACAAAGACAAAAUGAGUACAAAUUAUAUCACCCAUUUGUUUUAUUUGCACAAACUUCAAAAAAACUUGUGAACUAACUUUUAUUUCAAUGGGAAACAUAACUUUAUUUUUGUUUAGUCCAACCAAAAGAAAAAAGUUGUUGCCCAAACUCAGUGUAAAGGGAAACAUUUAUAUAAUUUUGUGUGGCCCAACUUUGAACAAACUGUAUUUUUGGGUGUAGUAAGAAACAUGGCUAUUGUUUUCUUUAAACUAAAUGGUUGGCAUGACUUAAAUUAAGAGGUAGUAUACACGAUUGUGCAGGAUAAAAAAAGAUCAUCUUUAAAAAUGUUUGAAAGCAUACUGAUUUUGAAGAAACUUUUCUGAACAAAUAUCUGGGGAAAAAAACGGGUCUUACAUCGAUGCUUGUUUUAGAAACCAAACUUUUUAAAAAUUUUUUCUCCUGACUCACACAUCAGAGUAUAACUUUUUUUUUCAGCUCUACUGACCGUGUGUAAUAAUACAGUAAAGGCACUUGACACUAUUGGUAAUUACUCAAAAUAUUGUUAGCAUAAAAACUGUACUUG